CGGGUUCGGAUCUGAAGUAAUCGGGAAUUGGGUCCGAAGCAUAUGCGGUCGUCCUGGGACGGAGGACAAAAGCAAAAUGGAAGAAGAGAAAAGAAGGUAGGCGCUGUCUCCUUCAUCCUUUACCUCUGCCCUCAUUCUUCGGGAUCGCCUAGCUUUUGUUCUUGUCUCCCUGCCCCUCUCUGUUGCUUCUCUGUCAUCCCUCCUUUUCCCUCUCUGCCUUCCCCUCUCUGCUCCCA
rnacentral:lncRNA from 1 species